GCCAUAGCUCAGUGGUAGAGCAUCUGUUUUGCAUGCAGAAGGCCCCAGGUUCAAUUCCCAGUAUCUCCA